AGUGAACGCUGGCGGUAGGCCUAACACAUGCAAGUCGAACGGCAGCACAGUAAGAGCUUGCUCUUCCGGGUGGCGAGUGGCGGACGGGUGAGGAAUACAUCGGAAUCUACUUUUUCGUGGGGGAUAACGUAGGGAAACUUACGCUAAUACCGCAUACGACCUACGGGGGAAAGCAGGGGAUCUUUGGACCUUGCGCGAUUGAAUGAGCCGAUGUCGGAUUUGCUAGUUGGCGGGGUAAAGGCCCACCAAGGCGAGGAUCCGUAGCUGGUCUGAGAGGAUGAUCAGCCACACUGGAACUGAGACACGGUCCAGACUCCUACGGGAGGCAGCAGUGGGGAAUAUUGGACAAUGGGCGCAAGCCUGAUCCAGCCAUACCGCGUGGGUGAAGAAGGCCUUCGGGUUGUAAAGCCCUUUUGUUGGGAAAGAAAAGCAGCAGGUUAAUACCCCGCUGUUCUGACGGUACCCAAAGAAUAAGCACCGGCUAACUUCGUG
rnacentral:rRNA from 1 species